rnacentral:lncRNA from 1 species
GCUCGGUCCUUCGUGCCGUCCUCCCCGCUGGGAGGGGCAGCUCCAGCUCCGCUCGGCUCGCUCCGCCCGGCCACACCGGCUUUUUCCCCAUCAGGCGGUCCGAGUGCGGCUCCUCGCGAGCCUGCAAAGGAGCAGCAGGCGGUUCCUUUUCGGACGACCUGGAGCGAGGCCUGCGGGACUGCGCGCCCCGGCGGGCGGCGUGCGGCUCCCGGCAUGCGCGGCGGCUGCGUUCCCGCCGCCUCCGAGCUCGCCUGGGGCUGCCGCCCGCCUCCUGCCGGGCCCUCGGGCUCGCCCGGCACCGCGGGGCUUGAUCAGGGAGAUAUUUUAGUACAACAUCUUUUCAUCACAGAAAUGAUAUCUUCAGGGAAAAGACUUCGAAAAAGUGCCUGAAGUGACACAACACAUGUUUUCUUCUGGUAUCUGGCUAAAGCCUUCUCUUCUAAGCAGCAUAAACUACUGCUGCCUACAUGUUGCCUGUUCAUAAAGGCUGAGGCAGGGGAGUCGCUUGAACUCGGGAGGCGGAGGUUGCAGUGAGCCGAGAUCAUGCCAUUUCCCUCCA